UGGUGGGUAGUUUGACUGGGGCGGUCUCCUCCUAAAGAGUAACGGAGGAGCACGAAGGUUGGCUAAUCCUGGUCGGACAUCAGGAGGUUAGUGCAAUGGCAUAAGCCAGCUUGACUGCGAGCGUGACGGCGCGAGCAGGUGCGAAAGCAGGUCAUAGUGAUCCGGUGGUUCUGAAUGGAAGGGCCAUCGCUCAACGGAUAAAAGGUACUCCGGGGAUAACAGGCUGAUACCGCCCAAGAGUUCAUAUCGACGGCGGUGUUUGGCACCUCGAUGUCGGCUCAUCACAUCCUGGGGCUGAAGUAGGUCCCAAGGGUAUGGCUGUUCGCCAUUUAAAGUGGUACGCGAGCUGGGUUUAGAACGUCGUGAGACAGUUCGGUCCCUAUCUGCCGUGGGCGCUGGAGAACUGAGGGGGGCUGCUCCUAGUACGAGAGGACCGGAGUGGACGCAUCACUGGUGUUCGGGUUGUCAUGCCAAUGGCACUGCCCGGUAGCUAAAUGCGGAAGAGAUAAGUGCUGAAAGCAUCUAAGCACGAAACUUGCCCCGAGAUGAGUUCUCCCUGACUCCUUGAGAGUCCUGAAGGAACGUUGAAGACGACGACGUUGAUAGGCCGGGUGUGU
rnacentral:rRNA from 1 species